rnacentral:lncRNA from 1 species
UUACCAUCCUAUUUCUUCAUCUUUUUCCCUCGAUAUGAAGAAACCCUAAAUCAUUCUUCCUCACAAUCUAAGUCGUUCCUCUCAUCUCUCAAGGCGAUUCUUUAUCUUCCAAUAUUCCCUUCAUCAUCAUUGUGUGUUCUUGCACCUCUUGAUUUUCUUCAAGGUAAAGUGACGGCUCUUCUCUCAAACCCUAAUCCUCAAUUUUGCUUCAACCAUCCGCAGUCCAAAAGCCUACAAUCAUCAGUUUGUACAAGAUAGCUCUUAAAUUUGAGGCAAAGGCAGCAGUUAUGGUCUUCCAUAGUCCAUAUGAAUGGCAAUUUUACAGUGGCAGUCAUGUGGUGCCUAACGUACACUAAUAAAGAAAACAAGGAAAAUACUAUGUAAUGGUCGUGGACACGCUUGGACCUAGCUUAUGGGACGUAUGGAAUUCUUUUGGGCAAUUGUGAGUCCUUAAGGUAGAACCGUUAAAAUCUCUCUCUCUCUCUCUCUCUCUCUCUCUCUCUCUCUCUUUCUUAUGUUAGUUGGUUUUAGUCCUUGCUCCUUUAUUUUGCUUUGACCUGGGUAUUUUGUUUGUCGACUCACAAAAUUAUGCAUAUUAAAAUGACAAAUUAACUUUAAAAUGGUUGGAUAGCAUCAACAUAGAUUCCCAAGACUGCAAGGUUAGAUUGAUAAUUUUAUUAUUAAUCUAUUAAAAGUUAUAUGUUCGAGUUCCUGCUUCUAAGUCUGCAGUGUAUUACUUACUACUUCCCAGGGAUUCUUUGUGCAGAAAGACUACAAAAUGUUUCCACCUUCAGUAAAUUUGGAUAAUAUUGAUUGGUCUACAACGAGGCUGCAAAUCGAUUUCCCUGUCCUGGUGGGCGUUACUAUGAAGGUUAGCACUAUUCAACUGGUCCCUUAGAAAUGUUGUUUUUGACACAAGUGGAUCCUAAAUUGGAACAAUAGCAAAGAUCUCAUCAUUUCUUUGUAAUUAUUUAAUGAUAUGAGUAUUCUACUACUCUAUAAUAAGUGGGAGUGAGGUUAGCAAAACAAGAUGGUGAUGGCGAUGGUCACUGGCGGAUACCACAUAUAGUAAAUUAUUAUUUUACAGUAAUAUUUUUUACUGUUCUAUGAAGUUGUUUUAAAUUUACAUUCUAAUAUUAUUAACAUUUUCAUUUUAUUAUGUAAUAAUGGCUCUCUAAACACAUCGUGUGAUUAAGUUAAUGAAAAGUUUGCAAGUCUUCUUAUAGCGAAGACAUUAAUAUUUGUAUGAUUUUAAGUAUGUAUUAAACAUAACUAAUAAUUAUAUAAGUAACUUUCUCGAGCCCGGGAAGCAAUCCCG